rnacentral:rRNA from 1 species
UACGUAGGUGGCAAGCGUUGUCCGGAUUUACUGGGCGUAAAGAGCGCGCAGGCGGUCGGAUAAGUCGAAUGUGAAAGCCCCCGGCUCAACUGGGGAGGGUCAUUCGAUACUGUUCGACUCGAAGGCAGGAGAGGGAAGUGGAAUUCCCGGUGUAGUGGUGAAAUGCGCAGAUAUCAGGAGGAACACCGGUGGCGAAGGCGGAUCUCUGGGCCUUACCUGACGCUCAGGCACGAAAGCUAGGGGAGCGAACAGG